rnacentral:rRNA from 1 species
GUGUGAAGAAGGCCUUCGGGUUGUAAAGCACUUUCAGUCGUGAGGAAGGUAGUGUAGUUAAUAGCUGCAUUAUUUGACGUUAGCGACAGAAGAAGCACCGGCUAACUCCGUGCCAGCAGCCGCGGUAAUACGGAGGGUGCGAGCGUUAAUCGGAAUUACUGGGCGUAAAGCGCAUGCAGGUGGUUUGUUAAGUCAGAUGUGAAAGCCCGGGGCUCAACCUCGGAAUUGCAUUUGAAACUGGCAGACUAGAGUACUGUAGAGGGGGGUAGAAUUUCAGGUGUAGCGGUGAAAUGCGUAGAGAUCUG